AACAUGAGCAAUGCAUUCCGCACUCUACUCACUCCACUCGAAACAAACACUUUUUAUACAUAUAAUAUUUAGUAAUAACGCCUAACCACAGAAGAGAACCCAAUAACUUCCCUCUCUCUCCGCCAAACCCAUUUUAUUUAUCUUUCAAUUUGCAGGGUUUCGAUUCCAUGUCGUUUCCUGCUAAGAAAUUCAUCAACCACCCCAACGAUGUUGUCACUGAAUACAUUGAAGGUCUUGUGCAGACUUAUCCUGGCCUCAACUAUUUAGAUGGCUUUCCGCAGGUGAAGGUUGUGUUGCGUGCCGAUGUUUCAUGUGCAACGAACAAUAAAGUUGCAAUCAUAUCAGGGGGAGGCAGUGGCCAUGAGCCUGCUCAAGCUGGAUAUGUGGGAGAAGGAAUGCUGACAGCAGCCAUUUGUGGGGACAUCUUUGCCUCUCCACCAGUUGAUUCAAUUCUAGCUGGGAUACGAGCUGUAACUGGUCCGAUGGGAUGUCUUCUGAUUGUCACGGAUUGUGCUGAGGAGCCGGGAGUUGUUGCUAAUAGAUCAGUUUCUAUGUUUGACAAUCUGCUCAUUGAAGUUAAUGCUUGCUGUAGUUAAGACAGAGAUGAAAAGAAUUAGAAGAACUUACAUUUUUUUCUCCUUAAAUGUUUUUGGCAAUCUGCAAAGUCAGUUUUAAAUGUGAUAAUGUGUGGUAUUUGCACUAGUAUGGUCAGAUCAUGGGGAGUCAAUAGGAUCUGCUUUUGUUUCUGGAUUCAUAGUGUUCAAAUUUGGGUGUUGAUAGAACUAUACUGGUGAUCGUUUGAACUUUGGUUUGGCUGCUGAGCAAGCAAAAUCUGAAGGUUAUAAAGUAGAGACUGUGAUUGUUGGGGAUGAUUGUGCCUUACCUCCACCUCGAGGAAUUGCUGGAAGAAGAGGUUUGGCAGGCACUAUUCUGGUUCAUAAGGUUGCAGGAGCUGCAGCUGCUGCUGGCCUUUCUCUUGUUGAUGUUGCUGCAGAAGCAAAACGUGCAUCUGAAAUGGUGGGCACAAUGGGUGUUGCGCUAUCCAUUUGCACACUUCCUGGUCAGGUUACAUCAGAUCGUUUGGGCCCAGAAAAGAUGGAACUAGGUCUUGGAAUUCAUGGAGAACCUGGUGCAGUUGUGGCGGAUCUUCAGCCUGUAGAUAUAGUGGUUUCUCAUGUUCUUAAGCAAAUAUUGUCUCCGGAAACAAACUAUGUUCCAAUAACACGAGGUUGUAGAGUGGUCCUCAUGGUCAAUGGGUUAGGUGGCACCCCUUUAAUGGAACUAAUGAUUGCAGCGGGAAAAGCAGUUCCAAAAUUGCAACUGGAGCAUGGACUGGCUGUUGAUAGGGUCUAUACAGGUUCAUUUAUAACUUCUAUCGAUAUGGCAGGUUUCUCAAUUUCUAUCAUGAAGGCUGAUGCAUCUAUUCUUCAACGUUUAGAUGCUGCAACUAAAGCUCCUUAUUGGCCUGUUGCAGUAGAUGGUAAUCGCCCACCUGCGAAGAUUCCUGUUCCAGUUCCACCAUCUCUGUCAGCUAAGAGUGACAAAGUACAUCCAUGGAAAUGUUUUGUUUCCCUUCUAUGAAUUUUCAAAUAAUUUUAGUCUAGAAAAUGUUUACAAACAAAAUUAUUUUUUGUCUCGCAAAUGUACAAAGAAUAUAAUUGGAAGUUCUUAAUUAAAAUUAAAUAUGUAUACAUCAUCCAACUGAAAUUUUUGUACCAGUAGUUGGUUUGUUUAAUGGGAAAUUUCUAGCUCAUAACUAUGUUGAAAGAGAAAAAAUUAUAUACCGGCAUAUUUUCAUUUGUAUGUUUUCAUAAUUUUGUCUUAUCUAGUGUUGAUUACGUAUUCUAAAUGUGGGACUGCUUCUGUUUACAUUUUUGCUUCAUGUAAGCCACGGAGUCAGCCAUUUCCAUUAAAUGAGCAAGGCCAGCUUCUUCAGGAAGCCAUCAAAGCUGGUGCAAAUGCAAUUAUAGAUCUUAAGGACAGUCUAAAUGAAUGGGACAGCAAAGUUGGUGAUGGUGACUGCGGAUCAACUAUGCAUAGAGGUGCAAAAGCAGUUCUUGAGGACAUCAAAAAUUAUCCUCUAAAUGAUGCUGCAGAGACUGUUAAUGAAAUUGAAGCAUCAAUUGGACGAGCUAUGGGAGGAACAAGUGGGAUCAUAUAUUCAAUUUUUUGUAAGGCAGCAUAUGCACAACUUAAAGCAAUUUCCCACUCUGGUGUCACACCAAAACAAUGGACUGAAGCACUUGCAGCUGGCAUUGCUGCUGUCAGUAAAUACGGGGGCGCUAGUGCUGGUUAUAGAACAUUGCUAGAUGCUCUUAUUCCAGCAUUGUCAGUUCUUCAAGAGAGAUUAAGUUCCGGUAAUGAUCCUUCCACUGCUUUUGUUCUUUCCUCUGAAGCUGCAUUAGCUGGAGCUGAGUCAACCAAGAACAUGCAAGCACAGGCUGGGCGUUCAACUUAUGUAUCGAGAGAGAUUCUUUCAUCAGUUCCUGACCCCGGUGCUAUGGCUGCUGCAUCAUGGUACAGAGCUGCAGCCUUAGUUGUGAAACAGCAAAGCAAGAGUUAAGCUACGCAUAUAGCGCUUCUGUGUCUUCUUUAUGUGGAGAUAUAGCAAAGUUGUUCUGGAUGUUUACUCUGUAUAAUACCAGACAAUAAAAAUUAUGUAACUAAUAACUAAUUGUAUUACUGUAAAUAUUAGUCGUACUUCCAUUUCCAUUUGCCAGUCGCUUUUAUAUAUGCUAAAUUAAGUUGAUGUAAAUUUGAAAAA